rnacentral:rRNA from 1 species
UACGAAGGGGGCUAGCGUUGUUCGGAAUCACUGGGCGUAAAGCGUACGUAGGCGGAUGCUUAAGUCAGAGGUGAAAGCCUGGAGCUCAACUCCAGAACUGCCUUUGAUACUGGGCGUCUUGAGUCCGGGAGAGGUGAGUGGAACUGCUAGUGUAGAGGUGAAAUUCGUAGAUAUUAGCAAGAACACCAGUGGCGAAGGCGGCUCACUGGCCCGGUACUGACGCUGAUGUACGAAAGCGUGGGGAGCAAACAGG